AUUUUUAUAUAUUUUCUUACUAAUAGGAAACCAGGAUACCCCUAAAGAGGAGAAUGACAGUGAGGAGCUCCAAUACUUAAUAUUUUCCUUGUCCACUCCCAGUCUGGACCCUCACAGACAACAACGGAGGCAGUUGAACCCCCAGUCUCAUUCUGAACAAGACGAAAAUGAUAAAGUGGUCUAUGCAAGCAUCUGCACAACAUAAUAUGGAUAACUACUCAAUGAUUCAAGUGGAUAAAUGAAACAAAAUACCCACAUUUAAAACUUAACAUUUCAAGUCUGUUCAGUGCAACACAAUUAGGUUUUCCAAGAUCUGUUACUACGUGAAUAUGCACUGUUGCAUUCUUUAUUGCUAAAGGAAGCUUUUAGUAGUAUCUGAUAAUAUUUAGAUUUUGACUGUGAACAACACUUGUAUUCUGGAAAAUAUAAACGUUAAGGGUUUUUUCUGUACUUUUUUUUGCAGUUUUUUUCUUUUUCUGUUUGUUAAAAAAUGUGCGCUCCGGUUUGUUGACUAUUCAAUGUAUGAACAGCAGGGAGUGAUAAAGUUCAACAAAUAAGCAUAUUUAUGUACAGGGUAGAAGUGCCAGGCUAUGGUGGUGUGCUCUUCAGAGUGCUUUUAUCUGUUGUUAAGAAGUAUACUUUUUAUUUUAAAUAAUAAAGCAGCUGUGAAAGGAACUGCCUCAUUAAUUAUUAUAAGAACCCAAAAUAAAACACAGUUAGUGACUGUGCCACCGACAGCACAUGCAGUGUUUUCUGGGCCGAAUGAACCAUCUCCCCCUGGCCUCUGCCUGCAGUUACCAUAGUAAUCACACUGUCAUGGUUCUCUGUUUCUGUCUCUGUUUUUCCUUGUUAGGCCACCAGAUGGCGGCACUUCUGUUUUGUGUCCUGCUCGUUCCCCUGUUAAUUGUAUUAUUGCUUUCAAUUAUUUUAUUAUUGUUUCUGAUUGUGUCUUGUUGUUCCCACCCUGUCCUGGUUUGAUUGUUAAUUGUGCCCUCCUGUGUCUUGUUGGUUUUUCAGUCUAUUUAAGUUCUUUGUCCCCUUGACUCAGGUGCUGGUCCCUUGUGUUUGUUCCUGACUUGUAUGUAUCAUUUCUUAUUUCUGACUGUGUUCCUGCCUGCUGUUGAACCUGCCUGUGUUCUGCUGUGUUUCUGUUCCCUGUGUCUGCUUCCUUUUGAUUGUUUUGUUUUGAGUUCCUUUACGUGUUUCCAGGUUCUUUUUUUUUAGUUUUCAUUUGUUAUUGCCCCUCGUGGCCUUUUGUUUGUUCCCGUUCAUUUUUUUGUUAUGAGUAAAGUUUUUGUUUCAUUCA